AUUGAACGCUGGCGGCAGGCUUAACACAUGCAAGUCGAGCGGGGUGAUGGUGCUUGCACUAUCACUUAGCGGCGGACGGGUGAGUAAUGCUUAGGAAUCUGCCUAUUAGUGGGGGACAACAUCUCGAAAGGGAUGCUAAUACCGCAUACGUCCUACGGGAGAAAGCAGGGGAUCACUUGUGACCUUGCGCUAAUAGAUGAGCCUAAGUCGGAUUAGCUAGUUGGUGGGGUAAAGGCCUACCAAGGCGACGAUCUGUAGCGGGUCUGAGAGGAUGAUCCGCCACACGGGGGGUGAGGGACGGCCCAGACUCCGACGGGAGGUAGCAGUGGGGAAUAGUGGACAAUGGGGGGAACCCUGAUCCAGCCAUGCCGCGUGUGUGAAGAAGGCCUUAUGGUUGUAAAGCACUUUAAGCGAGGAGGAGGCUCUUUUGGUUAAUACCCAAGAUGAGUGGACGUUACUCGCAGAAUAAGCACCGGCUAACUCUGUGCCAGCAGCCGCGGUAA
rnacentral:rRNA from 1 species